UACGAAGGGGGGCGAGCGUUUGUUCGGAUUUACUGGGCGUAAAGGGCGCGUAGGCGGCCCUCCUAGUCGCGUGUGAAAGCCCCGGGCUCAACCUGGGAAUUGCGUCUGAUACUGGAUGGCUUGAAUCCGGGAGAGGGAUGCAGAAUUCCAGGUGUAGCGGUGAAAUGCGUAGAUAUCUGGAGGAAUACCGGUGGCGAAGGCGGCAUCCUGGACCGGCAUUGACGCUGAGGAGCGAAAGCCAGGGGAGCAAACGGG
rnacentral:rRNA from 1 species